rnacentral:rRNA from 1 species
ACUAAAUAGAUACCCAGGUAGUCCACGCCCUAAACGAUGUCUACUAGUUGUCGGGUCUUAAUUGACUUGGUAAACGCAGCUAAACGCGUGAAGUAGACCGCCUGGGGAGUACGGUCGCAAGAUUAAAACUCAAAGGAAUUGACGGGGACCCGCACAAGCGGUGGAUGAUGUGGAUUAAUUCGAUGCAACGCGAAAAACCUUACCUACCCUUGACAUGGAAGGAAUCCCUGAGAGAUUGGGGAGUGCCCAAAAGGGAACCUUUACACAGGUGCUGCAUGGCUGUCGUCAGCUCGUGUCGUGAGAUGUUGGGUUAAGUCCCGCAACGAGCGCAACCCUUGUCAUUAGUUGCUACGAAAGGGCACUCUAAUGAGACUGCCGGUGACAAACCGGAGGAAGGUGGGGAUGACGUCAAGUCCUCAUGGCCCUUAUGGGUAGGGCUUCACACGUCAUACAAUGGUACAUACAGAGGGCCGCCAACCCGCGAGGGGAGCUAAUCCCAGAAAGUGUAUCGUAGUCCGGAUUGUAGUCUGCAACUCGACUGCAUGAA